GAUGAACGCUGGCGGCGUGCCUAAUACAUGCAAGUCGAGCGAACAGACGAGGAGCUUGCUCCUCUGACGUUAGCGGCGGACGGGUGAGUAACACGUGGAUAACCUACCUAUAAGACUGGGAUAACUUCGGGAAACCGGAGCUAAUACCGGAUAAUAUAUUGAACCGCAUGGUUCAAUAGUGAAAGACGGUUUUGCUGUCACUUAUAGAUGGAUCCGCGCCGCAUUAGCUAGUUGGUAAGGUAACGGCUUACCAAGGCAACGAUGCGUAGCCGACCUGAGAGGGGGAGCGGACACAGUGGAACGGAGAACGGGCCAAGACCCAGAGGGGAGGCAGAAGAAGGGAAUCUGCCGCAAGGGGCGAAAGCCUGACGGAGCAACGCCGGGGGAGGGAUGAAGGUCUUGGGAUCGAAAAAUUGUUUUAUAAGGAAAAAAAAAAUGGGAAAGUAACUAUGCACGUCUGGACGGUACAUAAUAAAAAAGCCACGGCUAACUCCGGG
rnacentral:rRNA from 1 species